GUUAGAUGAUGUCACUUCCGCUAAAUUACUUCCUGUUGGUUGACUUCCGGUAUUUGUUCGAAAGCUAGAGAUACAUUUUGUGGUCUUCUGUAGUACUUUCUGUUGCCAUCCUACACAAAGCGGCGAAGAAGCAAUGCCUUUUUCACCAUCUUGUCUAUGAAGGAAUUGUCAAAAGUAAAUGGUCAAGCUUACAA